UGACCUAGCGGCGGACGGGUGAGUAAUGCUUAGGAAUCUGCCUAUUAGUGGGGGACAACAUUCCGAAAGGAAUGCUAAUACCGCAUACGCCCUACGGGGGAAAGCAGGGGAUCUUCGGACCUUGCGCUAAUAGAUGAGCCUAAGUCAGAUUAGCUAGUUGGUGGGGUAAAGGCCUACCAAGGCGACGAUCUGUAGCGGGUCUGAGAGGAUGAUCCGCCACACUGGGACUGAGACACGGCCCAGACUCCUACGGGAGGCAGCAGUGGGGAAUAUUGGACAAUGGGCGAAAGCCUGAUCCAGCCAUGCCGCGUGUGUGAAGAAGGCCUUUUGGUUGUAAAGCACUUUAAGCGAGGAGGAGGCUACUUGGAUUAAUACUCUAGGAUAGUGGACGUUACUCGCAGAAUAAGCACCGGCUAACUCUGUGCCAGCAGCCGCGGUAAUACAGAGGGUGCGAGCGUUAAUCGGAUUUACUGGGCGUAAAGCGUGCGUAGGCGGCUUUUUAAGUCGGAUGUGAAAUCCCUGAGCUUAACUUAGGAAUUGCAUUCGAUACUGGGAAGCUAGAGUAUGGGAGAGGAUGGUAGAAUUCCAGGUGUAGCGGUGAAAUGCGUAGAGAUCUGGAGGAAUACCGAUGGCGAAGGCAGCCAUCUGGCCUAAUACUGACGCUGAGGUACGAAAGCAUGGGGAGCAAACAGGAUUAGAUACCCUGGUAGUCCAUGCCGUA
rnacentral:rRNA from 1 species